AGUCGAGCGGAACGAGUUAUCUGAACCUUCGGGGGACGAUAACGGCGUCGAGCGGCGGACGGGUGAGUAAUGCCUAGGAAAUUGCCCUGAUGUGGGGGAUAACCAUUGGAAACGAUGGCUAAUACCGCAUGAUGCCUACGGGCCAAAGAGGGGGACCUUCGGGCCUCUCGCGUCAGGAUAUGCCUAGGUGGGAUUAGCUAGUUGGUGAGGUAAGGGCUCACCAAGGCGACGAUCCCUAGCUGGUCUGAGAGGAUGAUCAGCCACACUGGAACUGAGACACGGUCCAGACUCCUACGGGAGGCAGCAGUGGGGAAUAUUGCACAAUGGGCGCAAGCCUGAUGCAGCCAUGCCGCGUGUGUGAAGAAGGCCUUCGGGUUGUAAAGCACUUUCAGUCGUGAGGAAGGUAGUGUAGUUAAUAGCUGCAUUAUUUGACGUUAGCGACAGAAGAAGCACCGGCUAACUCCGUGCCAGCAGCCGCGGUAAUACGGAGGGUGCGAGCGUUAAUCGGAAUUACUGGGCGUAAAGCGCAUGCAGGUGGUUUGUUAAGUCAGAUGUGAAAGCCCGGGGCUCAACCUCGGAAUUGCAUUUGAAACUGGCAGACUAGAGUACUGUAGAGGGGGGUAGAAUUUCAGGUGUAGCGGUGAAAUGCGUAGAGAUCUGAAGGAAUACCGGUGGCGAAGGCGGCCCCCUGGACAGAUACUGACACUCAGAUGCGAAAGCGUGGGGAGCAAACAGGAUUAGAUACCCUGGUAGUCCACGCCGUAAACGAUGUCUACUUGGAGGUUGUGGCCUUGAGCCGUGGCUUUCGGAGCUAACGCGUUAAGUAGACCGCCUGGGGAGUACGGUCGCAAGAUUAAAACUCAAAUGAA
rnacentral:rRNA from 1 species